rnacentral:rRNA from 1 species
GUAUAAGAGACAGCAGUAGCCGCGGUAAUACAGAGGGUGCGAGCGUUAAUCGGAUUUACUGGGCGUAAAGCGUGCGUAGGCGGCUUCUUAAGUCGGAUGUGAAAUCCCUGAGCUUAACUUAGGAAUUGCAUUCGAUACUGGGAAGCUAGAGUAUGGGAGAGGAUGGUAGAAUUCCAGGUGUAGCGGUGAAAUGCGUAGAGAUCUGGAGGAAUACCGAUGGCGAAGGCAGCCAUCUGGCCUAAUACUGACGCUGAGGUACGAAAGCAUGGGGAGCAAACAGGAUUAGAUACCCGCGUAGUCCCUGUCUCUUAUAC